rnacentral:snoRNA from 1 species
GGCCGAGUGAUGAUGAAAUGCUCCGUGACCGAUUGGGUCGUCACGAAACCAUCUGAUUCCCUGAUGUUCAAGAGCUAUACUGAGCUCCGGCC